GCCCAUGUAGCUCAGAGGAUAGAGCACGUCCCUCCUAAGGAUGGUGUCGGGAGUUCGAAUCUCUCCAUGGGUG
rnacentral:tRNA from 1 species